rnacentral:lncRNA from 1 species
CAACCUAGACAACAUAUUAAAAAGCAGAGGCAUUACUUUGCCAACAAAAGUCCGUCUAGUCAAGGCUAUGGUUUUUCCUGCGGUCAUGUAUGGAUGUGAGAGUUGGACUGUAAAGAAAACUUAGCACCAAAGAACUGAUGCUUUUGAAUGGUGGUGUUGGAGAAGACUCUUGAGAGUCCCUUGGACUGCGAGGAGAUCCAACCAGUCCAUCCUAAAGGAAAUCAGUCCUAAUAUUCAGUGGAAGGACUGAUGCUGAAGCUGAAACUCCAAUACUUUGGCCACCUGAUGCUAAGAACUGACUCAUUCGAAAAGACCCUGAUGCUGGGAAAGAUUGAGGGUGGGAGAAGGGGACAACAGAGGAUGAGAUGGUUGGAUGGCAUCACCAACUCAAUGGACAUGAGUCUGAGUAAACUCCAGAAGUUGGUGAUGGACAGAGAGGCCUGGCGUGCUGAAGUCCAUAAGGUCACAAAGAGUCGGACACAACUGUGCAGCUGAACUGAACUGAACCUUCUUACUGUCGCCUGUAAGCCCGUCUCCAUCUGUCCCUCAUCAACACCACUGCCUGGCUGCCCUCCUUACACAGCACUGUCUAGAUCCUAUCCUGCAUCCCAGCCCUUAAGCCCUGCCUUCUCUUCAUUCCAACGCCUCAGGACACUUGGACUUGGUACCUUUGACCUGGACUUCUAUCCUCAGAUUUUCACAUAGCUGGCUCCUUUUUGUUUUUUCUUGGCUAGAGAGGUCUUUCCUGACCACCCUAUAUAAAAAGGGCCUAGUGCCCACUACCACAACUUUAUUUUUGUUAUAAUACAAAGGCAAAGUGAAAGUGAAGUUGCUCAGUCGUGUCCGACUCUGUGCGGCCCCACGGACUGUAGCCUACCAGGCUCCUCUGUCCAUGGAAUUCUCCAAGGCUCCUCUGUCCAUGGAAUUCUCCAGGCAAGAAUACUGGAAUGGGUUGCCAUUCCCUUCUCCAUGGGAUCUUCCCAACCCAGGGAUCAAAGCCUGGUCUCCAGCAUUGCAGGCAUACACUUUACCAUCUGAGCUACCAGGGAAGCCAAACAUGAACUCCUUUGAGGAGGACAGACAAAGGAGUCUAAAAUUUUGCUAUCCGUUUUUAAAUUUACUGUCUGCUUUAACAAAGCUGGAAGUGUCUGAUUCACAUCUACGUACUUCCAGGACACAGACUGUGCUCAAACAUCUGUUAAGCAAAUUAAUUACACUUCUAAAAUUCAUCUUGCCAAAAAAGAGAUCGACAAAUACUAGGUUUGGACUUGUGUCACACAAGAGACCCAGGUUCAAUCCCUGGGUCCGGAAGAUCCCUGGAGGAUGA